GGGACUAUAGUCCAGUGGUUAGCACGCUUGACUGCGCAGCCAGACAGGCAGAGGACCUGGGUUCGAUUCCCAGGUAUAACCU